UCUUUCUACAAGGAGUUACCAAGUUGGAAAAAUUCAGAGUUUUCCGGUUCCGACAUGUCACGGACGCUACAUAUGAGACCGUUCCAGAGCCUUACCCAGCACCACAGUACAGAAGAGGUUAAAAGACAGUGUUUUCUCAGUAGUUAAUUAGUGACAGACCCACCACUAGCCAACAGCAGGGCCAGAGCCUUACCCAGCACCACAGUACAGAAGAGGUUAAAGGACAGUGUUUUCUCAGUAGUUAAUUAGUGACAGACCCACCACUACAUACGAGACCGUUCCAGAGCCUUACCCAGCACCACAGUACAGAAGAGGUUAAAAGACAGUGUUUUCUCAGUAGUUAAUUAGUGACAGACCCACCACUAGCCAACAGCAGGGCCAGAGCCUUACCCAGCACCACAGUACAGAAGAGGUUAAAAGACAGUGUUUUCUCAGUAGUUAAUUAGUGACAGACCCACCACUAGCCAACAGCAGGGCCAGAGCCUUACCCAGCACCACAGUACAGAAGAGGUUAAAGGACAGUGUUUUCUCAGUAGUUAAUUAGUGACAGACCCACCACUAGCCAACAGCAGGGCCAGAGCCUUACCCAGCACCACAGUACAGAAGAGGUUAAAAGACAGUGUUUUCUCAGUAGUUAAUUAGUGACAGACCCACCACUAGCCAACAGCAGGGCCAGAGCCACAGCCAACAUCACUAUCUUCAUCUUGCUG